GACGAACGCUGGCGGCGCGCUUAACACAUGCAAGUCGAGCGGGAACCGGGCCUUCGGGCCCGGGGACAGCGGCGAACGGGUGAGUAACACGUAGGUAAUCUGCCCUCGGUACUGGGAUAGCCCGGGGAAACCCGGAUUAAUACCGGAAAGCCCUUCGAGCCUUCGGGCUCGCAGGAAAAGGUAGCUUCGGCCUCCGACCGAGUAUGAGCCCGCGGCGGGUUAGCUUGUUGGUGGGGUAACGGCCUACCAAGGCGACGAUCCGUAGCUGGUCUGAGAGGACGAUCAGCCACACUGGGACUGAGACACGGCCCAGACUCCUACGGGAGGCAGCAGUGGGGAAUCUUGCCCAAUGGGCGAAAGCCUGAGGCAGCGACGCCGCGUGCGGGAAGAAGGCCCUCGGGUUGUAAACCGCUUUCAGGAGGGACGAAGCCACUCGGGUUAAUAGCCCAGAGGGUGACGGUACCUCCAGAAGAAGCCCCGGCUAACUACGUGCCAGCCGCCGCAGUAACAC
rnacentral:rRNA from 1 species